GGAGAGACGGUGGUGUUUCCUCAGAAGAACUAGCAGAGCCACAAAGAGCACGAGUCCAUCUCACCACCUUGACUUGCUGACUGAUGCUCGUCUGCACUGCACAGAGGAAAUCAACUGACCGAGGAGUGUUUCUGGGUGAGGGAGAGAGGAGUCAUCAUCCAGGUAAAGUGACGUGGAUCAGUGGACACACUUGUCUCCCCUUUAAAGGAGAUACUCUUAGAGAGAGACGAUCCGAGUCAUCCCUAAAUAUGGGCAGGAUA